UACGUAGGGGGCAAGCGUUGUCCGGAAUCAUUGGGCGUAAAGCGCGUGUAGGCGGCCCGGUAAGUCCGCUGUAAAAGUCCAGGGCUCAACCCUGGAAAGCCGGUGGAUACUGUCGGGCUCGAGUCCGGAAGAGGCGAGUGGAAUUCCUGGUGUAGCGGUGAAAUGCGCAGAUAUCGGGAAGAACACCAGUGGCGAAAGCGCUCUACUGGGCCAUAACUGACACUGAGGGACGAAAGCUAGGGGAGCGAAAGGG
rnacentral:rRNA from 1 species